AUAUUUCGUCUGGUUUAUUUUCGUCCGGUUUAUUUUCGUCUCAUAUCCCACCACCAUAUCUCCUCACAUUGAUUUUUUUACCCUCACAAUAAAAACUUUCCUAACUUUUCCAAAGUUUCCUAACUAGACACGUUAUAAACGGGCAUGUACCGAUAGCACGUUAUCAAUUAAUAAAAUUUUGUUUUAUGACAAUCAAUUCCAAAUCCUAAUUUUCCUAAUGCAUCGAUCUUUGCCUUUUUUAAGUAGUUAUUUUGAUAGGGAGGGUUUAGCCACGAAAAUCAUCCCUCCAUCGUCGGCUGCAUCCCUCACCCACGUCGCUGUUGCAGGAUCUUCAUCCGUCAUCCUGAGCAAUUGGGGCGGCGAUGCGGGCGAGCUUCACGAUAGUGGGGAGGACCAGGCCGCGGUGAAGGCAGGUCAUGCGCUCCUCACGCUCCACGAACGGAACCUGCGCACGGAGGCGGUAGCGCGGGGUGGCAGCCGGCAAUGAGGCGGCCGCGCUACGUGACGAGCUACGGGUCCCCCUUUGUGAUGUUUUGGCAUCGCUCCUUCAUCGCACAUCCUCAGGUACGUCAAUUCACUUCCUUCCCUUCCCUUCGUCCCUCGGUCCCACGCUCGUGGCGCUGAAGUGGUGGCAACAGGCGAUGGCGGUGGUGUCGCUGAUGGCGGCGAGGACAGCAUGUGGCAGCUCCCGAAGCAUGAACACGACCGCACCUCGGGCCUGCCGUCUGCCAAGAUAUGGCUCUGGCCGAUUGACAAUGGAGGUUUGGGAUCCUUCCUCUCAGCACCCACUCCUGGAAGAAUCAGCGGUGCGCCACGCCGAUUGAACCCCGUCGAGAUCACUCGCCAAGAUUGCUAUUCUGAAGUUUAUUGUAAAGAAAGUGAAGAGUGAGACAGGAUCCGUUUAUUUUCAACCGGUUUAUUUCCAUCAAAUUACCCCCACCCCCACGCCCACCCACCGAAACGCGCCCAGCGAACCGGGGAGAGAUCCAUUGAUUUGGCUAAGGUAGGAAAGAAUCUAUUAUUUGUUUGCUAAAGCAAAUUGCAUUAAUGGGAGAGAUCCGUUGAUUUGGCUAAGGUAGGAAAGAAUCUAUUAUUUGUUUGCUAAAGCAAAU